rnacentral:rRNA from 1 species
UACGGGGGGGAGCAAGCGUUGUUCGGAUUUACUGGGCGUAAAGGGCGCGUAGGCGGCGUGACAAGUCACUUGUGAAAUCUCCGGGCUUAACUCGGAACGGUCAAGUGAUACUGUCGUGCUAGAGUACAGAAGGGGCAACUGGAAUCUCGGUGUAGCGGUGAAAAUGCGUAGAUAUCGAGAGGAACACCUGCGGCGAAGGCGGGUUGCUGGGCUGAUACUGACGCUGAGGCGCGAAAGCCAGGGGAGCCGAACGGG